GUUAAGCGACUAAGCGUACACGGUGGAUGCCCUGGCAGUCAGAGGCGAUGAAGGGCGUGCUAAUCUGCGAUAAGCGCCGGUAAGGUGAUAUGAACCGUUAUAACCGGCGAUACCCGAAUGGGGAAACCCAGUGUGACUCGUCACACUAUCAUUAACUGAAUCCAUAGGUUAAUGAGGCGAACCGGGGGAACUGAAACAUCUAAGUACCCCGAGGAAAAGAAAUCAACCGAGAUUCCCCCAGUAGCGGCGAGCGAACGGGGAGGAGCCCAGAGCCUGAAUCAGCAUGUGUGUUAGUGGAAGCGUCUGGAAAGGCGCGCGAUACAGGGUGACAGCCCCGUACACAAAAGCGCAUGUGCUGUGAGCUCGAUGAGUAGGGCGGGACACGUGGUAUCCUGUCUGAAUAUGGGGGGACCAUCCUCCAAGGCUAAAUACUCCUGACUGACCGAUAGUGAACCAGUACCGUGAGGGAAAGGCGAAAAGAACCCCGGCGAGGGGAGUGAAAAAGAACCUGAAACCGUGUACGUACAAGCAGUGGGAGCCCCACCACUAAGCCAGUGGUGAACUCCACAUACGCAUCCUUUGCUGAGGAUACGGUUAACGGAGCGAAAGCGACGUUCAACCGCAAAAGAAGCAGAGGGGGCUUAGUGGUGGGGUGACUGCGUACCUUUUGUAUAAUGGGUCAGCGACUUAUAUUCUGUAGCAAGGUUAACCGAAUAGGGGAGCCGGAGGGAAACCGAGUCUUAAUUGGGCGUUAAGUUGCAGGGUAUAGACCCGAAACCCGGUGAUCUAGCCAUGGGCAGGUUGAAGGUUGGGUAACACUAACUGGAGGACCGAACCGACUAAUGUUGAAAAAUUAGCGGAUGACCUGUGGCUGGGGGUGAAAGGCCAAUCAAACCGGGAGAUAGCUGGUUCUCCCCGAAAGCUAUUUAGGUAGCGCCUCGUGAAUUCAUCUCCGGGGGUAGAGCACUGUUUCGGCUAGGGGGCCAUCCCGGCUUACCAACCCGAUGCAAACUGCGAAUACCGGAGAAUGUUAUCACGGGAGACACACGGCGGGUGCUAACGUCCGUCGUGAAGAGGGAAACAACCCAGACCGCCAGCUAAGGUCCCAAAGUCAUGGUUAAGUGGGAAACGAUGUGGGAAGGCCCAGACAGCCAGGAUGUUGGCUUAGAAGCAGCCAUCAUUUAAAGAAAGCGUAAUAGCUCACUGGUCGAGUCGGCCUGCGCGGAAGAUGUAACGGGGCUAAACCAUGCACCGAAGCUGCGGCAGCGACGCUGAUGCGUUGUUGGGUAGGGGAGCGUUCUGUAAGCCUG
rnacentral:rRNA from 1 species